rnacentral:rRNA from 1 species
CCUACGGGCGGCAGCAGUGAGGAAUAUUGGUCAAUGGACGAGAGUCUGAACCAGCCAAGUAGCGUGAAGGAUGACUGCCCUAUGGGUUGUAAACUUCUUUUAUAUGGGAAUAAAGUGUUCCACGUGUGUGCUUUUGUAUGUACCAUAUGAAUAAGGAUCGGCUAACUCCGUGCCAGCAGCCUCGGUAAUACGGAGGAUCCGUGCGUUAUCCGGAUUUAUUGGGGUUAAAGGGAGCGUAGGUGGCUUGUUAAGUCAGUUGUGAAAGUUUGCGGCUCAACCGUAAAAUUGCAGUUGAAACUGGCAGUCUUGAGUAGAGUAGAGGUGGGCGGAAUUCGUGGUGUAGCGGUGAAAUGCUUAGAUAUCACGAAGAACUCCGAUUGCGAAGGCAGCUCACUGGACUGCAACUGACACUGAGGCUCGAAAGUGUGGGUAUCAAACAGGAUUAGAUACCCGUGUAGUC